GAGUUUGAUCCUGGCUCAAGACGAACGCUGGCGGCGUGCCUAACACAUGCAAGUCGAGCGGAGACAGUGAGUAGCUUGCUAUGAGCUGUUUUAGCGGCGGACGGGUGAGUAACGCGUGAGCAACCUUUCCCAGACAGGGGAAUAACACACCGAAAGGUGUACUAAUACCGCAUAAGACCACGGGAUCACAUGGUUCUGGGGUAAAAGAUUUAUCGGUUUGGGGUGGGCUCGGCGUCCGAUUAGGUAGUUGGUGAGGUAACGG
rnacentral:rRNA from 1 species